UAAUGUAAGAACUGAGUCUACCAAGGGAUGAUGUCACAGGAAGGUCACUGAUACAGCAAAAAGACACCACAUCCUUUGCUGCUCCAGUGGAGCCAUGGAUGCACAGCUUGUCUGCUGUGUAGCACUUUGCCUCCUGGGGGCAGGCUCUUUUGAUGCUGCUGUUAUUCAGACGCCAAGACAUUUGAUCAAAAUGAAAGGGCAGCAAGUAGAGAUGAACUGUAACCCCGAAAAGGAUCACCCUGCUGUUUUCUGGUAUCAGCAAAAACAGAGCAAAGAGUUAAAGUUCCUGAUUUACUUUCAGAAUCAACGGCCUGUCGAUCAAAUAGACAUGGUCAAGGAGAGAUUCUCAGCUGAGUGGCCCUCAAACUCACUCUGUAGCCUGAAAAUCAGUACUUCUGAAGUAGAAGACUCAGCACUGUACCUGUGCUCCAGCAGUCAAUCCACAGCACUGAAAUGUACGCUCCCCUCUGUGCACAAACUCACCGGGGAGUCACUUAGGGAGCAGGUGAUGUUGGAAGUAAGGGAAAUUAACUGGCCUCAGUGCAAACCACAACAGACUUCACACAGGAGAACAGCACACCCAGACCAAGUCAGGAAAAGCUGCUCUUCCUUCUUCUCUUUUCUCCUUUUUCUCUUUUGUUGUGUUUUUCUUUUCUUUUUUUUUUUUUUUUGUUCUUUUUUUCGGAGCUGGGGACCAAACCCAGGGCCUUGCGUUUCCUAGGCAAGCGCUCUACCACUGAGCUAAAUCCCCAACCC